GGAAACAUUUCAAAACGAGGUCGAUUGCUUGGGUUGAAUGUGGGUGAUAAAUACGUUGGGUUGGCUGUUUCAAACACGAAUGAUAAGAUUGCAUCACCUUUAAGUGUUCUAGUUAGGAAGAGAGGAGAUAUUGAUUUGAUGGUUGGUGAUUUUCAAUGCCUGGACGUGGAGUUGUUCUUAAAGAAUUUUAGUUUGCCUCAACUUGAGAGAAAGGAAAUGGAGUACAAGUUUAUUGCUGUUGAAUUAUUGCAGGUGACUUCUUUGUUAUCCCUCCUAUAGAGUGUUUGAUUUUUGUUCUAUUAUAGAUAAAGAAGAAGAAGAAGAGUACUACGAAGGUCCAAUCAGAUCUUGAUUUCCCAAAAAGGCCAAUAAAAUUUGAUUAGUUGGAGGUGGAUUUAAAAGAGAGUGAUGUUAUAAAUAGACCCCUUUGUUAAAUUUAAAUUCGAUUGGAAUUUUAAAUAAAAAGUAGCUAAUAAAUUUAAGUAUAAAAUUUUCUGUUUUAAAACUCAAGAAAUUUAAGCAUAAAAUGGAUUUCUCAUCCCUCAAGAAAUUACUCUCCCUUGUUUCCCUAAGCCCGUUUGUUGCGUUUCAUUUUCAACUCAACGUUGCUUUAGAUUCUUCUCAAGAAGUACAAGCUCUUCUAAAAUGGAAAGCCAACCUUCAAAACCAGAACCAUUCUCUCCUAUCUUCUGGGACUCUUUCUCCCGAUAAUGCCACCAGCAAAUCAACCCAAUUCACAGCCAAAAUAAGCCCUUGUGCUUGGUUUGGAAUUUCCUGCGACCACGAGGGAAGAAUCCAUAGAUUCAACUUGUCUGCUGCAGGUUUAAAAGUUACGCUAGAGGAAUUAUCAUUCUCAUCAUUUCCCCAUCUUGCAUAUCUUGAUUUUGCCAUCAAUGAACCCUUUGGCUCUAGUCCAGCGCAAAUUGGUAAUCUCUCUAAACUAAAGUACCUUGACUUGUCAAUUAAUUUGUUUUUUGGGAAAUUGCCAAUUAACACAUCUUGAAAUCCUCUACAUGGUUGAGAAUCAGUUGAAUGGUUCAAUGCCUCAAGAAUCAGAGUAGCUAAGUUCUCUUUGUAAAUUAGGUCUCGACAAUAACCAUUUGCAUGGUCCAA